CACGUAGGGCCCGAGCGUUGUCCGGAGUUACUGGGCGUAAAGCGCGCGCAGGCGGCCCCCUAAGUCCGGCGUGAAAGCCCCCGGCUCAACCGGGGAGGGUCGCCGGGGACUGGGGGGCUCGAGGGCGGCAGGGGCCGGUGGAAUGCCCGGUGUAGUGGUGAAAUGCGUAGAGAUCGGGCGGAACACCCGUGGCGAAGGCGGCCGGCUGGGCCGUCCCUGACGCUGAGGCGCGAAGGCGUGGGGAGCGAACGGG
rnacentral:rRNA from 1 species